UGGGUGACAGAGCAAGACUCCGCCUCAAAAAUAAAUAAAUAAAUAAGCUUAGAAGAAUACUUGGCACAUAGUCAAUUUUCCUGUACGGUGCUGACUGUGCCGCUUUGUUAAGCAACCAUGCAUUAGGAGAGUGGGUUUGGUUGAGACUGCCUCUAAAACUAGUGCUUUAUUUGCUUAACUGCCUCUCUGAAUUAGGGUCCUUUCAUUCCUCAUGUGAGUGUUAAAAACCUAACUAUGUUUGGAAAAACGUAAUUGAUCAUACAGUCAUUGUAAUUUGCGAGGGCUUCCCUAACACAAUACUACAGACUGUGUGGCUUAAACAACAGGAAUUUAUUUUCUCACAGUCUGGAGUCCAAGAUCAACGUGCCAGCAGGUUUGCUUUCUCCUGAGGCCUUGCUCCUUGGUUUUCAGAUGACUGCCUUCUCCCUGUUCUCACGUGGUUUUUCCCCCGUGCAGGCAUCCUUGGUGUGUGUGCCUCCAAAUCACCCUUUCUUAUGCGGACAGAGGUUUGAUUGGGUUAAACCCUCAGCCUAACGGUCUCAUUUUCACUUAGUCACCUUUCCAAAGAGCCUCUCUCCACAUACAGUCAUAUUCUGCCUUAGUGGGGGUGAGACGUUCAGCAUAUGAACUUGGGGAGGAAGAACACAAUUCAGACUAGAAUAAUCAGGUUCCUCGAGGAAAAAAAGAAUUUCGAUGUGCUAACAUCAAUCAAAGAAUGACAAGUAUCAUUGAAAGGAAGAAGUUGAGCGCCUGGGAGCAGCCUGGUCACUGCCAGCUAAAAGAAGAGGGAAUGUGGCACAGGGCUCCUGGAGGGAGAAAAACCCAACAUUUUAUAGAGGCAGAAAGUGUCAUGUUAAACAGGAGAUGAACUCUGAAUUUGGAUAAGAAGUCUGAUUAUAAUUAGAUAAGCUUCUAAGAUAAGACCUCAGUUCAGACACAUGCAGCAGCUGAGUGAUAAUCAGUAGAAAAUGCCUUCAAAGCAAGCUGCAACCACAAAACACAAGGAAGGAGAAAAGAACUUUUUCUCUUAAGCAGAACCAGGGAUGACCUAAAUACUUGGUCACCCUUCAGAGACGGCAACGUUUACGUUUUUGACUAAAAAAAAAC